rnacentral:rRNA from 1 species
UACCAGCUGGCUGCAACUGUUUAUUAAAAACACAGCACUGUGCAAACACGAAAGUGGACGUAUACGGUGUGACGCCUGCCCGGUGCCGGAAGGUUAAUUGAUGGGGUCAGCGCAAGCGAAGCUCCUGAUCGAAGCCCCGGUAAACGGCGGCCGUAACUAUAACGGUCCUAAGGUAGCGAAAUUCCUUGUCGGGUAAGUUCCGACCUGCACGAAUGGCGUAAUGAUGGCCAGGCUGUCUCCACCCGAGACUCAGUGAAAUUGAACUCGCUGUGAAGAUGCAGUGUACCCGCGGCAAGACGGAAAGACCCCGUGAACCUUUACUAUAGCUUGACACUGAACAUUGAGCCUUGAUGUGUAGGAUAGGUGGGAGGCUUUGAAGCGUGGACGCCAGUCUGCGUGGAGCCGACCUUGAAAUACCACCCUUUAAUGUUUGAUGUUCUAACGUGGACCCGUAAUCCGGGUUGCGGACAGUGUCUGGUGGGUAGUUUGACUGGGGCGGUCUCCUCCUAAAGAGUAACGGAGGAGCACGAAGGUUGGCUAAUCCUGGUCGGACAUCAGGAGGUUAGUGCAAUGGCAUAAGCCAGCUUGACUGCGAGCGUGACGGCGCGAGCAGGUGCGAAAGCAGGUCAUAGUGAUCCGGUGGUUCUGAAUGGAAGGGCCAUCGCUCAACGGAUAAAAGGUACUCCGGGGAUAACAGGCUGAUACCGCCCAAGAGUUCAUAUCGACGGCGGUGUUUGGCACCUCGAUGUCGGCUCAUCACAUCCUGGGGCUGAAGUAGGUCCCAAGGGUAUGGCUGUUCGCCAUUUAAAGUGGUACGCGAGCUGGGUUUAGAACGUCGUGAGACAGUUCGGUCCCUAUCUGCCGUGGGCGCUGGAAGAUUGAGGGGGGCUGCUCCUAGUACGAGAGGACCGGAGUGGACGCAUCACUGGUGUUCGGGUUGUCAUGCCAAUGGCACUGCCCGGUAGCUAAAUGCGGAAAAGAUAAGUGCUGAAAGCAUCUAAGCACGAAACUUGCCCCGAGAUGAGUCUUCCCUGAGACUUUGAGUCUCCUGAAGGAACGUUAAAGACGAUGACGUUGAUAGGCCGGGUGUGUAAGCGCAGCGAUGCGUUGAGCUAACCGGUACUAAUGAACCGUGAGGCUUAACCUU